UCCCUGGUGGUCCAGUGGUUAAGACUCUACAUGUCCAAUGUAGGAGGCAUGGGUUCGAUCCCUAGUCAGGGAA
rnacentral:tRNA from 1 species